GGUCAAGUGACUAAGCGCAUACGGUGGAUGCCUUGGCAGUUGGAGGCGAUGAAAGACGUUAGAGCCUGCGAUAAGCUCUGGGAAGGUGGCAACUAACCUGUGAUCCAGAGAUCUCUGAAUGGGGAAACCCACUUAGCAUAAGCUAGGUAUCUCUUACCUGAAUCCAUAGGGUUUGAGAGGCGAACCCAGGGAACUGAAACAUCUAAGUACCUGGAGGAAAAGAAAUCAAUUGAGAUUCCCUAAGUAGCGGCGAGCGAACGGGGAGCAGCCGAGCUUCGUACGAUAGUGGAAUAGUCUGGGAAGGCUGACCAUAGUGGGUGAUAGUCCCGUACACGAAAUCAAUCGAAGACGUAUUAAGUAGGUCGGCACACGUGAUAUGUUGACUGAAGAUAGGGGGACCAUCCUCUAAGGCUAAAUACUACCAACUGACCGAUAGUGAACCAGUACCGUGAGGGAAAGGCGAAAAGAACCCCUGUGAGGGGAGUGAAAUAGAUCCUGAAACCGUAUGCGUACAAGCAGUGGGAGCCCCUCACCUAGAAUUUUCUGGGUGAGAAAGAAUUUCGAACCAUACAGAAAAUUGUAGGUGAGGGGUGACUGCGUACCUUUUGUAUAAUGGGUCAGCGACUUAUUUUCAGUAGCAAGCUUAACCGUAUAGGGUAGGCGUAGGGAAACCGAGUCUUAAUAGGGCGUUAAGUUGCUGGGAAUAGACCCGAAACCGGGCGAUCUAGCCAUGGGCAGGUUGAAGGUUGAGUAACAUCAACUGGAGGACCGAACCCACGUAUGUUGAAAAAUGCGGGGAUGACCUGUGGCUCGGAGUGAAAGGCUAAUCAAGCCCGGAGAUAGCUGGUUCUCCUCGAAAUCUAUUUAGGUAGAGCCUCGCAUAUUACCCUCGGGGGUAGAGCACUGUUUGGGCUAGGGGGCCAUCCCGGCUUACCAACCCCAUGCAAACUCCGAAUACCGAGGAGUACAAUUGCGGGAGACACACGGCGGGUGCUAACGUCCGUCGUGGAAAGGGAAACAACCCAGACCGCCAGCUAAGGUCCCAAAGUAGUGUUAAGUGGGAAACGAUGUGGGAAGGCUUAGACAGCUAGGAGGUUGGCUUAGAAGCAGCCACCCUUUAAAGAAAGCGUAAUAGCUCACUAGUCGAGUCGGCCCGCGCGGAAGAUGUAACGGGGCUAAACACUACACCGAAGCUGCGGAUGCGUGCUUUUGUUUACAAGAGCCACGCAUGGUAGAGGAGCGUUCUGUAAGUCUGUGAAGGUGAACUGAGAAGUUUGCUGGAGAUAUCAGAAGUGCGAAUGCUGACAUGAGUAACGAUAAGGGGUGUGAAAAACAUCCCCGCCGAAAGACCAAGGUUUCCUGCGCAACGCUAAUCGGCGCAGGGUUAGUCGGCCCCUAAGGCGAGGCAGAAAUGCGUAGUCGAUGGGAAACUGGUUAAUAUUCCAGUACUUCUAUUUAUUGCGAUGGGGGGACGGAGAAGGUUAGGCCAGCGCGGCGUUGGUUGUCCGCGUUUAAGGUAGUAGGCAGGUGUCUUAGGUAAAUCCGGGAUGCUAAUGCCGAGAACUGAUGACGAAGCCUCUCUUUGAGAGGUGAAGUGGUUGAUACCCUGCUUCCAAGAAAAGCCUCUAAGCUUCAGAUAAAUAGGAACCGUACUCCAAACCGACACAGGUGGUCGGGUAGAGAAUACCAAGGCGCUUGAGAGAACUCGGGUGAAGGAACUAGGCAAAAUGGUACCGUAACUUCGGGAGAAGGUACGCCGCUGACGGUGAACGCUUCGCGCGGUAAGCUGUUGGUGGUCGAAGUAACCAGGUGGCUGCAACUGUUUAUUAAAAACAUAGCACUCUGCAAACACGAAAGUGGACGUAUAGGGUGUGACGCCUGCCCGGUGCCGGAAGGUUAAUUGAUGGGGUUAGCCCUCACCUAGAUUAUUUUAUAAGAAACUAUGUUUUACGUUUAUUUGCUUUACAGUGAUUCGUUUGAUGAGUUUUAUUUAGGUUCUACAAGGGACUUAAAGAAACGAUUUAAACAACACCAAGAGGGGUUAAACAAAUCCAUAAGAAAAGCAAAAGACUGUAAAGUAGUUUAUUACGAAGCGUAUUUAACAGAGAAAUCUGCAACGCAACGUGAAGCGAAUUUGAAACGCAGUGGAAAGGCUUAUCACAGUCUAAAACAGCGUGUUAGAGAAAGCUUAUAAAAGAAAUAAAGAAAAGAUAAUCUAGGUGAGGGCGAAGCUCUUGAUCGAAGCCCCGGUAAACGGCGGCCGUAACUAUAACGGUCCUAAGGUAGCGAAAUUC
rnacentral:rRNA from 1 species